UUAAGUUAUUAAGGGCGCACGGUGGAUGCCUUGGCACUAGAAGCCGAUGAAGGACGUUACUAACGACGAUAUGCUUUGGGGAGCUGUAAGUAAGCUUUGAUCCAGAGAUUUCCGAAUGGGGAAACCCAGCAUGAGUUAUGUCAUGUUAUCGAUAUGUGAAUACAUAGCAUAUCAGAAGGCACACCCGGAGAACUGAAACAUCUUAGUACCCGGAGGAAGAGAAAGAAAAUUCGAUUCCCUUAGUAGCGGCGAGCGAAACGGGAAGAGCCCAAACCAACAAGCUUGCUUGUUGGGGUUGUAGGACACUCUAUACGGAGUUACAAAGGACGACAUUAGACGAAUCAUCUGGAAAGAUGAAUCAAAGAAGGUAAUAAUCCUGUAGUCGAAAAUGUUGUCUCUCUUGAGUGGAUCCUGAGUACGACGGAGCACGUGAAAUUCCGUCGGAAUCUGGGAGGACCAUCUCCUAAGGCUAAAUACUCUCUAGUGACCGAUAGUGAACCAGUACCGUGAGGGAAAGGUGAAAAGCACCCCGGAAGGGGAGUGAAAUAGAACCUGAAACCGUGUGCUUACAAGUAGUCAGAGCCCGUUAAUGGGUGAUGGCGUGCCUUUUGUAGAAUGAACCGGCGAGUUACGAUUUGAUGCAAGGUUAAGCAGUAAAUGUGGAGCCGUAGCGAAAGCNNNNNNNNNNAGUCUGAAUAGGGCGUUUAGUAUUUGGUCGUAGACCCGAAACCAGGUGAUCUACCCUUGGUCAGGUUGAAGUUCAGGUAACACUGAAUGGAGGACCGAACCGACUUACGUUGAAAAGUGAGCGGAUGAACUGAGGGUAGCGGAGAAAUUCCAAUCGAACCUGGAGAUAGCUGGUUCUCUCCGAAAUAGCUUUAGGGCUAGCCUCAAGUGAUGAUUAUUGGAGGUAGAGCACUGUUUGGACGAGGGGCCCCUCUCGGGUUACCGAAUUCAGACAAACUCCGAAUGCCAAUUAAUUUAACUUGGGAGUCAGAACAUGGGUGAUAAGGUCCGUGUUCGAAAGGGAAACAGCCCAGACCACCAGCUAAGGUCCCAAAAUAUAUGUUAAGUGGAAAAGGAUGUGGCGUUGCCCAGACAACUAGGAUGUUGGCUUAGAAGCAGCCAUCAUUUAAAGAGUGCGUAAUAGCUCACUAGUCGAGUGACACUGCGCCGAAAAUGUACCGGGGCUAAACAUAUUACCGAAGCUGUGGAUUGUCCUUUGGACAAUGGUAGGAGAGCGUUCUAAGGGCGUUGAAGCAUGAUCGUAAGGACAUGUGGAGCGCUUAGAAGUGAGAAUGCCGGUGUGAGUAGCGAAAGACGGGUGAGAAUCCCGUCCACCGAUUGACUAAGGUUUCCAGAGGAAGGCUCGUCCGCUCUGGGUUAGUCGGGUCCUAAGCUGAGGCCGACAGGCGUAGGCGAUGGAUAACAGGUUGAUAUUCCUGUACCACCUAUAAUCGUUUUAAUCGAUGGGGGGACGCAGUAGGAUAGGCGAAGCGUGCGAUUGGAUUGCACGUCUAAGCAGUAAGGCUGAGUAUUAGGCAAAUCCGGUACUCGUUAAGGCUGAGCUGUGAUGGGGAGAAGACAUUGAGUCUUCGAGUCGUUGAUUUCACACUGCCGAGAAAAGCCUCUAGAUAGAAAAUAGGUGCCCGUACCGCAAACCGACACAGGUAGUCAAGAUGAGAAUUCUAAGGUGAGCGAGCGAACUCUCGUUAAGGAACUCGGCAAAAUGACCCCGUAACUUCGGGAGAAGGGGUGCUCUUUAGGGUUAACGCCCAGAAGAGCCGCAGUGAAUAGGCCCAAGCGACUGUUUAUCAAAAACACAGGUCUCUGCUAAACCGUAAGGUGAUGUAUAGGGGCUGACGCCUGCCCGGUGCUGGAAGGUUAAGAGGAGUGGUUAGCUUCUGCGAAGCUACGAAUCGAAGCCCCAGUAAACGGCGGCCGUAACUAUAACGGUCCUAAGGUAGCGAAAUUCCUUGUCGGGUAAGUUCCGACCCGCACGAAAGGCGUAACGAUUUGGGCACUGUCUCAACGAGAGACUCGGUGAAAUCAUAGUACCUGUGAAGAUGCAGGUUACCCGCGACAGGACGGAAAGACCCCGUGGAGCUUUACUGUAGCCUGAUAUUGAAAUUCGGCACAGCUUGUACAGGAUAGGUAGGAGCCUUUGAAACGUGAGCGCUAGCUUACGUGGAGGCGCUGGUGGGAUACUACCCUAGCUGUGUUGGCUUUCUAACCCGCACCACUUAUCGUGGUGGGAGACAGUGUCAGGCGGGCAGUUUGACUGGGGCGGUCGCCUCCUAAAAGGUAACGGAGGCGCUCAAAGGUUCCCUCAGAAUGGUUGGAAAUCAUUCAUAGAGUGUAAAGGCAUAAGGGAGCUUGACUGCGAGACCUACAAGUCGAGCAGGGUCGAAAGACGGACUUAGUGAUCCGGUGGUUCCGCAUGGAAGGGCCAUCGCUCAACGGAUAAAAGCUACCCCGGGGAUAACAGGCUUAUCUCCCCCAAGAGUUCACAUCGACGGGGAGGUUUGGCACCUCGAUGUCGGCUCAUCGCAUCCUGGGGCUGUAGUCGGUCCCAAGGGUUGGGCUGUUCGCCCAUUAAAGCGGUACGCGAGCUGGGUUCAGAACGUCGUGAGACAGUUCGGUCCCUAUCCGUCGUGGGCGUAGGAAAUUUGAGAGGAGCUGUCCUUAGUACGAGAGGACCGGGAUGGACAUACCUCUGGUGUACCAGUUGUCGUGCCAACGGCAUAGCUGGGUAGCUAUGUGUGGACGGGAUAAGUGCUGAAAGCAUCUAAGCAUGAAGCCCCCCUCAAGAUGAGAUUUCCCAACUUCGGUUAUAAGAUCCCUCAAAGAUGAUGAGGUUAAUAGGUUCGAGGUGGAAGCAUGGUGACAUGUGGAGCUGACGAAUACUAAUCGAUCGAAGACUUAAUCAA
rnacentral:rRNA from 1 species